GACGAACGCUGGCGGCGUGCUUAACACAUGCAAGUCGAACGGAAAGGCCCUGCUUGCAGGGUGCUCGAGUGGCGAACGGGUGAGUAACACGUGGGUGAUCUGCCCCUUACUUUGGGAUAAGCCUGGGAAACUGGGUCUAAUACUGGAUAGGACCAUGCUGUAGGUGGUGUGGUGGAAAGAUUAGUUUCGGUAAGGGAUGAGCUCGCGGCCUAUCAGCUUGUUGGUGGGGUAAUGGCCUACCAAGGCGUCGACGGGUAGCCGGCCUGAGAGGGUGGACGGCCACAUUGGGACUGAGAUACGGCCCAGACUCCUACGGGAGGCAGCAGUGGGGAAUAUUGCACAAUGGGCGCAAGCCUGAUGCAGCGACGCCGCGUGGGGGAUGACGGCCUUCGGGUUGUAAACUCCUUUCAGCCAUGACGAAGCCCUUGUGAUGACGGUAGUGGUAGAAGAAGCACCGGCUAACUACGUG
rnacentral:rRNA from 1 species